AGGCCUGGGCCUGAACAACAUGGCUUCCCCCAGGGUGAGAGUCGUUUGUCCUCCCACCGCCUGCUCUCUCCUGAUGACCAGGUUCCAGGAGUUAUCAAAGAACAGCCUCUGAGCUGCGUGGAGAAAGCCAUGGAGACAGCCAGAAGAAAACGGCAGGAUUAGAUUAACCUGUGAUUUCUGGCUGGCCACGAGGUCACCCAUGGCAUGGAGCUGCCCACAACGCCCUUCUCAGCGUGAAGCAUCCUGAAAGAUCCAGGGCCAGGUUCCCCAGGAAUGGGGAGUUGGAAGCUCAUUGGCACUGUCAAAUUUGAAGAAGAGGCGUGCUCUGACUGGUCCUAGCUUACUCUGCCACCACUGCCCGGCAGGAAGAAGUUCCCCAGCAGACAGUGGCCCCACAGCAACAGAGGCACAGCUUCGAGGGGGAGGAGUGUCCAGCAGGAUCUCAUAGAUCAGAACAUACUGGAGCCUGUAACCUGUGCACAGAGGGUGUGGAUUACACCAACGCUUCCAACAAUGAACCUUCUUGCUUCCCAUGUACAGUUUGUAAAUCAGAUCAAAAACAUAAAAGUUCCUGCACCAUG
rnacentral:sRNA from 1 species